UACACGACCGUACCGCAAACCGACACUGGUGCGCGAGAUGAGUAUUCUAAGGCGCUUGAGAGAACUCAGGAGAAGGAACUCGGCAAAUUGACACCGUAACUUCGGAAGAAGGUGUGCCUUUAGUAGGUGAAGUCCCUCGCGGAUGGAGCCCAAUGAGGUUGCAAAAAAUCGGUGGCUGCGACUGUUUAUUAAAAACACAGCACUCUGCAAACACGAAAGUGGACGUAUAGGGGUGACGCCUGCCCGGUGCUGGAAGAUUAAAUGAUGGGGUGCAAGCUCUUGAUUGAAGUCCCAGUAAACGGCGGCCGUAACGAUAACGGUCCUAAGGUAGCGAAAUUCCUUGUCGGGUAAGUUCCGACCUGCACGAAUGGCGUAACGAUGGCCACACUGUCUCCUCCUGAGACUCAGCGAAGCUGAAAUGUUUGUGAUGAUGCAAUCUCCCCGCGGAAAGACGGAAAGACCCCAUGAACCUUUACUGUAGCUUUGUAUUGGACUUUGAACAGAUCUGUGUAGGAUAGGUGGGAGGCUUUGAAGCAGGGUCGCUAGAUCUUGUGGAGCCAACGUUGAAAUACCACCCUGGUGUGUUUGAGGUUCUAACCUAGGCCCGUAAUCCGGGUUGGGGACAGUGCAUGGUAGGCAGUUUGACUGGGGCGGUCUCCUCCCAAAGUGUAACGGAGGAGUUCGAAGGUACGCUAGUUACGGUCGGACAUCGUGACGAUAGUGCAAUGGCAUAAGCGUGCUUAACUGCGAGACUGACAAGUCGAGCAGAUGCGAAAGCAGGACAUAGUGAUCCGGUGGUUCUGUAUGGAAGGGCCAUCGCUCAACGGAUAAAAGGUACUCUGGGGAUAACAGGCUGAUACCGCCCAAGAGUUCAUAUCGACGGCGGUGUUUGGCACCUCGAUGUCGGCUCAUCUCAUCCUGGGGCUGUAGCCGGUCCCAAGGGUAUGGCUGUUCGCCAUUUAAAGAGGUACGUGAGCUGGGUUUAAAACGUCGUGAGACAGUUUGGUCCCUAUCUUCCGUGGGCGCUGCAGAUUUGAGGAAGCCUGCUCCUAGUACGAGAGGACCGGAGUGGACGCACCUCUGGUGUAUCGGUUGUCACGCCAGUGGCAUUGCCGAGUAGCUAUGUGCGGAAGAGGUAACCGCUGAAAGCAUCUAAGCGGGAAACUCGUUUCAAGAUGAGAUCUGCCGGGGCCUUGAGCCCCCUGAAGAGUCGUUCAAGACCAGGACGUUGAUAGGUCGGGUGUGGAAGCGCAGUAAUGCGUUAAGCUAACCGAUACUAAUUGCUCGUGCGGCUUGACC
rnacentral:rRNA from 1 species